AUUGAACGCUGGCGGCAGGCCUAACACAUGCAAGUCGAACGAGUGGCGGACGUGUGAGUAAUGUCUGGGCAACUGACUGAUGGAUGGGGAUAACUACGGGUAACGGUAGCUAAUACCGCAUUCCAUCGGCUGUGCCCAGAUGGGAUUAUCUAGUAGGUGGGGUACAGGCUGACCUAGGCGCCGAUCCGUAGCUGGUCUGAGAGGAUGACUAGCCACACUGGAACUGAGACACGGUCCAGACUCCUACGGGAGGCAGCAGUGGGGAAGAUUGCACAAUGGGGGAAAGACUGAUGCAGCCAUGCAGAGGGUAUGAAGAAGGCCGUCGGGUUGUAAAGUACUUUUAGCGGGGAGGCGUUACCAGCAGAAGAAGCACCGGCUAACUACGUGCCAGCAGCCGCGGUAAUAC
rnacentral:rRNA from 1 species